rnacentral:tRNA from 1 species
AAGACACUAGUAAAACAUGACAUUACAUUGCCUUGUCAAGGCAAGAUUGCGGGUUAAACCCCCGCGUGCCUUA